rnacentral:lncRNA from 1 species
GGACAGGGAUUUUCACGAUGCUUUUCCAUACAAUGUGUGGAAUCCAUAGAUAACAUAAGCAGUUAGGUCAGGGGUUGAUUUUUUUUUUUUUUUUUUUUUUUGAGACGGAGUCUCGCUCUGUCGCCCAGGCGGGACUGCGGACUGCAGUGGCGCAAUCUCGGCUCACUGCAAGCUCCGCUUCCCGGGUUCACGCCAUUCUCCUGCCUCAGCCUCCCGAGUAGCUGGGACUACAGGCGCCCGCCACCGCGCCCGGCUAAUUUUUUUUUUUUUUUUUGUAUUUUUAGUAGAGACGGGGUUUCACCUUGUUAGCCAGGAUGGUCUCGAUCUCCUGACCUCAUGAUCCACCCGCCUCGGCCUCCCAAAGUGCUGGGAUUACAGGUGUGAGCCACCGCGCCCGGCCAGGGGUUGAUUUUUAACUACUAGGCCCAGGGCGUGGCGCUGGGCUGUCUGCCUGUGGAUUUCAUUUCUGCCUUCUAGCUUUUACUUCUUCUUUCUUUGGAGGCAGAAAUUGAGCAUAAGACAAUAUGAGAGGUGGUCUCCUCCCUUAAUUAUGGUAUGCUAUUGCAUCACAGUUCUUCCAAUUUUGAUGUUGCUAUGGUUUGAAUUUUUCCCUCAAAGUUCAUGUGUUAAAACCUAAUCCCCAACACAACUUUAAGAGGCGCUUAACUCAUGAGGGCUUCAGCCGGAUGAACUGAUUAAUGUUGUUUUUGUGGGAGUGGGAUAAAAUAAUGAGUUUGGCCCCCUUCCCACAAGUUCUCUAAUUCUUACCUUCUUUUGCCCUUCCUCCUUUCACAAUGAAAUGAAGCAGCAAGAAGAUCCUCGCCAGAUACGUGGGCCUCUUGAACUUGGACUUCCCAGCCUGCAGAAUGGGCCCGUUACUGUCAGAUUCCGGCAGUUGACCCUGGUGAUUUCACAGCAGCAAGCACUGCAGGCGUUCCCAACACACAAGGCAAACUCUGUAUAUGGGCUCACCACCCACAGAUCCAGCUGUCUGUCAUGUCGUUCCCAUAUUGAAGGAACAUAACCUGUUAUUAAGCCAAUUCAGCCCUGGAAGAAGGAACAAGUUUCCAAAAUGCAAUCUUUGAGUUUGGAAAAUGGCAUUUGAGAGAAGACACUCCCAACUUCUUCUGCAUCUGGAUUUCCUGAGUCAGAAGGUAUCUUCCAGGGAUCUGAAGUGUAGAAAGAUGGAAAUCACAAGACUAUGGAGACUUGCAAACAUUCACCAGCAGUACCUUCAGAGCAAUCAACACAGCAGAAGAAGACACUGUGGUGCCUGGCACAAAAACACCCUGAAAAGAACCAGGACAGCUGUGGUGAAAAGAUGCAAUGUGCAAUCUUAAAUAAUGCUAGAUUCGUCACCCCAGACUGGAGUCGCCUUAUCCCACACUCCCAUUGUAAUGGGCUGGCUGGUACACAACAACUCAGACCCUUUUCAAAUCAGUCAAGACAAACAGGACCCACUAAACUCACCAGUCAAGGUGGU